GAUAGUGCCAGGUUGACUUGAUAGUAUUAUUUCAAACCUGUUGCAAAAUAAAGCUUGAAAUAUGAAUUUUCUAAGUUUAUUUGUUGCAAUUAUGGCCACGUUAGCUAUCUUUUUGGGCCAAGGCGCUGCCUAUCCAGGGGCUGGAAGCGCUAUUAAAGCAGUUGGCAAAGGAAUCAAAGUACUCGACAGGGUUAGUACCGCACACGAUUUAUACAAAAGGGCUAAAAAUCAUGGAUAAAAGAUAAUUAUGAUUUCUAGGUAAAGCUCUGACUGACAAUCGCACCUUAAUAUUAUUGGUUUCGUUUGGAUUUGGUAUAUAAAAAAAUAAAAAUAAAAUUAUGUAUUUUUAGACCAUAAUUAAAGAGUAUGAUAAUUAUUGAUUCAUUUUAAUAAAAUACGAUUUGUACGUAGCAUAAUAUAGAUUUGAUCGAUA